rnacentral:rRNA from 1 species
CCUACGGGGGGCAGCAGUGGGGGAUAUUGCACAAUGGGGGAAACCCUGAUGCAGCGACGCCGCGUGGGUGAAGAAGUAUUUCGGUAUGUAAAGCCCUAUCAGCAGGGAAGAAAGAAGACGGUACCUGACUAAGAAGCCCCGGCUAACUACGUGCCAGCAGCCGCGGUAAUACGUAGGGGGCGAGCGUUAUCCGGAUUCACUGGGUGUAAAGGGAGCGUAGACGGCCGUGCAAGCCAGGAGUGAAAGCCCGGGGCCCAACCCCGGGACUGCUCUUGGAACUGUGCGGCUGGAGUGCGGGAGGGGCAGGCGGAAUUCCUGGUGUAGCGGUGAAAUGCGUAGAUAUCAGGAGGAACACCGGCGGCGAAGGCGGCCUGCUGGACCGCGACUGACGUUGAGGCUCGAAAGUGUGGGUAUCAAACAGGAUUAGAUACUCUUGUAGUC